rnacentral:rRNA from 1 species
UGGGGAAUUUUGGACAAUGGGCGCAAGCCUGAUCCAGCCAUGCCGCGUGCAGGAUGAAGGCCUUCGGGUUGUAAACUGCUUUUGUACAGAACGAAAAGACUCCUUCUAAUAAAGGGGGUCCAUGACGGUACCGUAAGAAUAAGCACCGGCUAACUACGUGCCAGCAGCCGCGGUAAUACGUAGGGUGCAAGCGUUAAUCGGAAUUACUGGGCGUAAAGCGUGCGCAGGCGGUGAUGUAAGACAGGUGUGAAAUCCCCGGGCUUAACCUGGGAAUUGCAUUUGUGACUGCAUCGCUGGAGUGCGGCAGAGGGGGAUGGAAUUCCGCGUGUAGCAGUGAAAUGCGUAGAUAUGCGGAGGAACACCGAUGGCGAAGGCAAUCCCCUGGGCCUGCACUGACGCUCAUGCACGAAAGCGUGGGGAGCAAACA